rnacentral:piRNA from 1 species
UGCCUUGAGAAUAAAAUCUGCCAAGAGAUGC